rnacentral:misc_RNA from 1 species
AAAAAAAGAAGAAAAUUUUGAGUCUCACUAUACGAAACAGACUGUUGAAUAAUCAAACAAAGAAAAAAGAAAGAAACUUUAGAUCAGAUCUGAAAAUUUGAACAAGAGGAGUGUUUUAAUAGUCAAAGAAAAUGCAGACAAGGUAUAUGGAGAAACGUGUUUUGGAUCCAAGUAGUAGUGAGGAAGGUCAACCUGAUAGGAAAAGACCUGCUCUUGCAAGUGUCAUUGUUGAAGCGCUAAAGGUGGACAGUCUGCAAAAACUCUGCUCAUCACUGGAGCCA